GUACUUACCUGGCAGGGGGAAUACCAUGAUCAACAAGGUGGUUUCCCCAGGGUGAGGCUCUUCCAUUGCACAUUUUGGUUGAGUUGACCCCUGUGAAUUCCCCAAAUGACGGAAACUCAACUGCAUAAUUUCUGGUAGUGGGAAUAUAAGAGCAAUAUUUAAAAUCUGUCUG